GGUCUCUCUCCACAGGGCCAGGGCUCCCCUCCAGGACCUCGAAGCACCCUACUGUUGGGGUGCUUGUCUCUGUUUCAGUUGUCCCUCUUAAGGCUUAAGAAAGAGACGCGGCACCUGCAGCAGGAAAGGAGCCCAGCCGGAGAGUUCACCGCACCAGUCAGCGAGCACAGAGUGCUGGACGGAUGACCAGUGGGGCCUUGGGGCAGUGUGGGGCGCAGGAAAAGAGUACCUGGUCCCGCAGUGACUGCAGUGAGGAGGACCCUGCAUUUUUACCCACCCUCCUCACCUGGCACCACUGCUGUACAGGCUGUCAGCUCUGCUCCGGUUCUCAAGUUCACUCGGCAAAAAGCUGAUCUGCCUCCGUGUUUAGAAGCUCCUCACUGGCCAGGAGGGUGGCUCACCUCUACACGUCUGGGCUGGAGAGAACAAAGGAUGUGCUGUUGGGAAAAGAGAUGGGCCUCGGCCCAACUGGGAGGCCUGGGCCCAGCUGCCAUGGCGCACCAAGCGAGGGUCUGUAGGAAAGGGAAGUUCCCGGCCAGGAAAUGGGGACCCUGAGCUUCUCCCCGGCAGGAGGUGCCCAGUGUCACCUGCCUGAAGCAGACACGGGUGCAGAGGGUCAGGCCUGGAACCCCAGCCUCCAACCAGCCUUCCUAACCACUCUUACCUAUUUUCUUAAAUAAGCUUUUUCUUUUAGGAUAGAUUUAAAUUCAUAGAAAAGUCGUGGAGAUAAUACAGAGAAUUCCCACAGGCCUCCCGCCACCCGGCUUCCCUGUGAGUGUCUUACAGGAGGACGGCACCUUUGUCACAAUGGAUGUCGGUGCACUAUCAUCAAACAAUAAAGCCUGUCCUUCAUCCGGGUCUCCUA
rnacentral:lncRNA from 1 species